rnacentral:piRNA from 1 species
UUCAGUCUAAACUGGAAUCCCCAAGAAGUA